rnacentral:lncRNA from 1 species
UCUUACAUGUGAACUUGGAGUUCCUCUGUCCUGUGCUCAGACCAUCGAUCAAUUCAAUAUCCACUGUGACUUCUUAAGCUAGGCUUAGCUAAUGCAGGAACAAAACCAGCAUACUAAAAAAGUUUCUACCAUUGUCAGUGUGAGACAAUAUAAGCACUAAGACAACAAAAAAUACAGGCUUUCCUAAGUUUACAGGGGAAGCAUGAGGAAAAACACAUUUCAUCGGGCACGCAACCCAAAAGAAAAACCGAUUGCUUUGAACAGCAGAAAGGCAUCUCAGCCAGGAAGUCUAAACCUGCAGACCUUUUUUCAUUCAGGUGGUAGUUUUAUGGGGGAAAAGGCUCAUUUUGCUUCCUAUACCAAAUCAUCUGUUGUCCUCAGUGCCCCGCAACACCCUUCUCUUGGUCACCUCCCUCACCCUUGGCAGCGUCACCCUGGGCCCAGGGGCUGCUGCUGCAGCAUUUGCGCGUGGCGCUGAGUGCCAGAGAGUCAGGCAGCACUUGUUUGCCACAUGGAGGCUUGCAUGUCAAGUCCACAGUUAGAACUGGCAGAUCUCAGUAACGUGUACGCAGACCCAAGAGACCAAGGAGACGGAUGGAGGAGAAAAAUUCCAAUCAUUGCCACUGAUAUAGCAGGCAGCCGUCCAUCUCUCGCUUGGCCUGUACCCAUCAGUCGGCAGCUUCUCCCAUGCUCAUGCAAUCUCCAUGUACCAAGUACCUCAGUGGCAUUUGUAGUUAAUCAUUAAAAUGAGCUGCAACCUGGCCUUUAAUCCAAACGCUGCACUGCCUGAGUGCUCAGCGUGCUUUAAAAUUUUAGUGGUUUGGGCUUGGGAGCAACGUUACCCAGACAAAUUCUGGUACAAGUUGGAAGUAACAACUGUAGCUUAGGGUCUGGUAAUCUUUUCCCUGAACCACACGAAUGGUACCACAGAAAACUGAAAGCUUUGUCAAAUUGCAGGUGAUUCUUUCCUGUACUGUUUUUAGUAAAAGAACUUCCUUUCUCAGUGGUGUAAAAGAUUUCAAAAUGCAAAUCUGUCAUUCUGUUCCCCCUCCCUCUCCUCCCCUGCCCCAAAAUGGGACUCAAACCCCAAAACAAUCAACUAUUGGGGAAGUCUGGCUGUCUCCCUUUGAACUUCCCCACAUAUCGCUUAAAGCACCUAGCUUCAGAAAGGGAAAUGUAUGUUAAAGUGCAUUUACCACAGCAAUAGUACCAGCACUAAAAGCUUUUCCCCUCAUCCCUGUUCUCGCCGUUCAAUGUCUGGGAUAGAUGACGAUCUUCCCGUAACUCAUCCUCUUUGUACCUUGAAGUCUCAGUGUAUCUCCAUCUAUUUAUGACGCUGGAAUAAAAGAAAAUCCAGCGUCA